AACGUAGGGGGCCAGCGUUGCUCGGAAUUACUGGGCGUAAAGGGUCCGUAGGCGGUGUAGCAAGUCGGAAGUGAAAUCUCUGGGCUUAACUCAGAGGCUGCUUCCGAAACUGCUGUGCUAGAGUGCGAGAGAGGCGAGUGGAAUUGCGGGUGUAGCGGUGAAAUGCGUAGAUAUCCGCAGGAACACCGACGGCGUAGGCAGCGCCCUGGACGAGACCUGACGCUCAGGCACGAAAGCGCGGGGAGCGAACAGG
rnacentral:rRNA from 1 species